GCCUCAACAACCUCCAACACCGCGACUUCAGCCAUCACUGCGACAACCAUCAGCCCCACAACCUCCAACACUGUGACUUCCGGCAGCCCCACAACCACCUCCACAACCACCCAACCUACAACUGCCUCCACCACAACCACCAACACCGCGACUUCUGCCGACACUGCGACAACCAUCUGCCCCACAACCUCCAACACUGUGACCUCUGUCAACACCGCGACCUCAACCAGCCCCACAACAUCCAACACUGUGACCUCAGGCACGAUUGUCACCUCCACCAGCCCCACAACCUCCUCUGCAACCACCCAACCCACAGCUGCCUCCACCGCAACCUCCAACACUGCGACUUCUGCCAGCACCGGAACCUCCAUCAGCCCCACAACGUCCAACACUGCGACUUCUGGCAGUACCACAACCUCCACCACAACCACCCUACCCACAACUGCCUCCACCACAACCUCCAACACCGCAACUUCUACCGACACUGAGACAACCAUCAGCCCCAAAACCUACAACACUGCAACUUCUGGAAGUCCCACAACCCCUACCACAAACACCCAACCCACAACUGCCACCACCACAACCGCCAGCACCGCGACUUCUGCCGACACUGAGACAACCAUCAGCCCCACAACCUCCAACACUGUGACUUCUGGAAGCCCCACAACCCCUACCACAAUCACACAACCCACAACUGCCUCCACCACCACAUCCAUCACCGCGACUUCUGCCAACACCGCCACCUCCAUCAGCCCCACAACCUCCAACACUGUGACCUCUGGGAACACCGGGUCAUCGAGCAGCCCCACAACCUCCAACACUGUGACUUCUGGCAGCCCCUCAACCACCACCACAAUCACCCCACCCACAACACCCUCCACCACAACCUCCAACACCGUGACAUCUGCCGACACUGCGACAACCAUCAGCCCCACAACCUCCAACACUGUGACCUCAGGCACGACUGUGACCUCCACCAGCCCCACAACCUCCUCCGCAACCACCCAAACCACAACGGCCUCCACCACCACAUCCAUCACUGCGACUUCUGCCAACA
rnacentral:lncRNA from 1 species